rnacentral:rRNA from 1 species
UACGGAGGGUGCAAGCGUUAUCCGGAUUUACUGGGUUUAAAGGGUGCGUAGGUGGAUAAUUAAGUCAGUGGUGAAAUCUUCAGGCUUAACCUGGAAACUGCCAUUGAUACUAUUUAUCUUGAAUACUUUGGAGGUAAGCGGAAUAUGUCAUGUAGCGGUGAAAUGCUUAGAUAUGACAUAGAACACCAAUUGUGAAGGCAGCUUACUAGACAGUAAUUGACACUGAGGCACGAAAGCGUGGGGAUCAAACAGG